rnacentral:rRNA from 1 species
AGGGAUUGCCUUAGUAACGGCGAGUGAAGCGGCAACAGCUCAAAUUUGAAAGCUGGCCCUUUUAGGGUCCGCGUUGUAAUUUGUAGAGGAUGAUUCGGCGAGGGCUCCUGCCUAAGUCCCCUGGAACGGGGCGUCAUAGAGGGUGAGAAUCCCGUAUGCGGUAGGUUGCCUUAGCCGUGUGAAUCUCCUUCGACGAGUCGAGUUGUUUGGGAAUGCAGCUCUAAAUGGGAGGUAAAUUUCUUCUAAAGCUAAAUACCGGCCAGAGACCGAUAGCGCACAAGUAGAGUGAUCGAAAGAUGAAAAGCACUUUGGAAAGAGAGUUAAAAAGUACGUGAAAUUGUUGAAAGGGAAGCGCUUGCAACCAGACUUGUCCGCAGUUGCUCAGCCGGUCUCCUGACCGGCGUACUCUUCUGCGGCCAGGCCAGCAUCAGUUCGGGCGGUCGGAUAAAGGCCUCGGGAAUGUAGCUCCUCUCGGGGAGUGUUAUAGCCCGGGGUGGAAUGCGGCCAGCCUGGACUGAGGAUCUCGCUUCGGCAAGGAUGCUGGCGUAAUGGUUGUAAGCGGCCCGUCU